rnacentral:rRNA from 1 species
GAUGAACGCUGGCGGCGUGCCUAAUACAUGCAAGUCGAGCGAACAGACGAGGAGCUUGCUCCUCUGACGUUAGCGGCGGACGGGUGAGUAACACGUGGAUAACCUACCUAUAAGACUGGGAUAACUUCGGGAAACCGGAGCUAAUACCGGAUAAUAUAUUGAACCGCAUGGUUCAAUAGUGAAAGACGGUUUUGCUGUCACUUAUAGAUGGAUCCGCGCCGCAUUAGCUAGUUGGUAAGGUAACGGCUUACCAAGGCAACGAUGCGUAGCCGACCUGAGAGGGUGAUCGGCAACACUGGAACUGAGACACGGUCCAGACUCCUAAGGGAGGCAGCAGUAGGGAAUCUUCCGCAAUGGGCGAAAGCCGGACGGAGCAACGCCGCGUGAGUGAUGAAGGUCUUCGGAUCGUAAAACUCUGUUAUUAGGGAAGAACAAAUGUGUAAGUAACUAUGCACGUCUUGACGGUACCUAAUCAGAAAGCCACGGCUAACUACGUG